GUUUUUGCAAACUGAAGCCUUUAAUCUUGAUGUGAUACAUGCCUGAGCUGCACCAGCAUUCCUAAGUCUUGAACCUAAUUAGUGAUUUACCAAGUCCAAAAGAAUACAAAAAGGAUGCCAAAAACUCUGAAGCCAAAGUAACAAAUAAUGUUGAAUGCACAUGCUGCUUUUGAUUGUUUAAAUGCAUCUCCAGUUUAUUUUUAUGACAGUUUAGUCUUAUUUUCAACUUAUUGAGUAAUUAGUCAAUACCGGUUCUCAUAAUCACAUAUGAUUGGAAGUUUUCAUCACAAAACUAAAUGGUUUAACACAUGAAUUUUUAUACUUAAUGAUAUCUGCUCCAUACAGUUGAAGUUCUGCUGGAUUUGCACUUUGUGACUGCAAUGUUUUCUAGUUGACUCUUACUUGACACUUUUUUACUUUUCAUGAAAUUUCAGAAGUAAAUUCAUUCCCUUUCUAGUUAUGCUGUUAUGUCCUUAUAAUGCUUUAACCUUUUCACUUGGCCUUUGUUUCUGUGCCAUCUUAUCUGUAAUACACUGAAUUUUACUUCAUAUUGGUGGUCUUCAUCCUAUCUUGUUAAAUGUUGGUAGUACUCUUAGGCAUGGCCUACCAAUUACUGAAUCAUAUUUUGUAUGUGGCCAUUCUACAGUGAAAAAUAUUGGCCUUAAAACUGUAUAUCAUAAUUAUACAAUUUGUUAAAAUCACUGCACAAACGAGCAUCUUUGGCAAGAGAAGUGUCAAAACAUAGAUUAUAAUGUAUCAGAUUACAGAAUCAGUACUCCACCUCCACUCAACUUAUUAGCAGCUAUGCCAGUUCUUAUUCUUGUUUUCUUUUAGUGAGACCUGUCAUAACUCAUAAAGGGCAAAGCCCUAAGGGAGGAAAUGUUUUUUUUUUUUUUUUUU
rnacentral:misc_RNA from 1 species